AAACACGAACCAAGGAGUCUAGCAUGCGCGCGAGUUAUGGGGAAUACGCCAACCCUAUAGGCGGAAUGAAAGUAAAGGUCCGCCUAGCGCGGACCGAGGGAGGACGGGCCCGGCCGAGGUCGGGCCCCGCACUCCUGGGGCGUCUCGUUCUCAUCGCGAGAAGAGGCGCACCCAUAGCGUACACGCUGGGACCCGAAAGAUGGUGAACUAUGCCUGGUCAGGACGAAGUCAGGGGAAACCCUGAUGGAGGUCCGUAGCGAUUCUGACGUGCAAAUCGAUCGUCGGAACUGGGUAUAGGGGCGAAAGACUAAUCAAACCUUCUAGUAGCUGGUUCCCUCCGAAGUUUCCCCCAGGAUAGCUGGCGCUCGCCUUUGCGAGUCUCAUUCGGUAAAGCGAAUGAUUAGAGGCAUUGGGGUCGAAACGGCCUCAACCUAUUCUCAAACUUUAAACGGGUGAGAUCUCCGGCUUGCUUGAAGCUUGAAGCCGCGAGAGAUCGGAUCACAGAGUGCCAAGUGGGCCACUUUUGGUAAGCAGAACUGGCGCUGUGGGAUGAACCAAACGCCGAGUUAAAGCGCCCAAAUC
rnacentral:rRNA from 1 species